UUGCAAGUCGAACGCGUUGGCCCAAUUGAUUGAUGGUGCUUGCACCUGAUUGAUUUUGGUCGCCAACGAGUGGCGGACGGGUGAGUAACACGUAGGUAACCUGCCCAGAAGCGGGGGACAACAUUUGGAAACAGAUGCUAAUACCGCAUAACAGCGUUGUUCGCAUGAACAACGCUUAAAAGAUGGCUUCUCGCUAUCACUUCUGGAUGGACCUGCGGUGCAUUAGCUUGUUGGUGGGGUAACGGCCUACCAAGGCGAUGAUGCAUAGCCGAGUUGAGAGACUGAUCGGCCACAAUGGGACUGAGACACGGCCCAUACUCCUACGGGAGGCAGCAGUAGGGAAUCUUCCACAAUGGGCGCAAGCCUGAUGGAGCAACACCGCGUGAGUGAAGAAGGGUUUCGGCUCGUAAAGCUCUGUUGUUAAAGAAGAACACGUAUGAGAGUAACUGUUCAUACGUUGACGGUAUUUAACCAGAAAGUCACGGCUAACUACGUGCCAGCAGCCGCGGUAAUACGUAGGUGGCAAGCGUUAUCCGGAUUUAUUGGGCGUAAAGAGAGUGCAGGCGGUUUUCUAAGUCUGAUGUGAAAGCCUUCGGCUUAACCGGAGAAGUGCAUCGGAAACUGGAUAACUUGAGUGCAGAAGAGGGUAGUGGAACUCCAUGUGUAGCGGUGGAAUGCGUAGAUAUAUGGAAGAACACCAGUGGCGAAGGCGGCUACCUGGUCUGCAACUGACGCUGAGACUCGAAAGCAUGGGUAGCGAACAGGAUUAGAUACCCUGGUAGUCCAUGCCGUAAACGAUGAGUGCUAGGUGUUGGAGGGUUUCCGCCCUUCAGUGCCGGAGCUAACGCAUUAAGCACUCCGCCUGGGGAGUACGACCGCAAGGUUGAAACUCAAAGGAAUUGACGGGGGCCCGCACAAGCGGUGGAGCAUGUGGUUUAAUUCGAAGCUACGCGAAGAACCUUACCAGGUCUUGACAUCUUGCGCCACCCUAGAGAUAGGGCGUUUCCUUCGGGAACGCAAUGACAGGUGGUGCAUGGUCGUCGUCAGCUCGUGUCGUGAGAUGUUGGGUUAAGUCCCGCAACGACCGCAACCCUUGUUACUAGUUGCCAGCAUUAAGUUGGGCACUCUAGUGAGACUGCCGGGACAAACCGGAAGAAGGUGGGACAAGUCAAACAUCAGCCCUUUGACUGGGCUACACGUGCUAAAUGGACGUAAACAAGUCCGAACCCGAGGGAAAAUCCUAAACUUCUGUCAAAGGGGGGAAUCCCCGCAAAUCAAAACUUUAUCGGAACAGCGGGAUUCCGCUUCCCCCCCCAGCAAAACAAAAAAAAAAAAAAAAAAGAAAAUUUUUU
rnacentral:rRNA from 1 species